UUUAUAUAACUUUUGCUGUUGUCCUGGCUGUGAGCACAUUCACAGACUUUUAUCCAAAAGAUGUUGUGGCAAAAAACGAUAAACUCAGCCAUAUGUCACCAUCAAAAGUGAUGGAACAGCAGAAGUUUAUGGAAAAGGUGAAACAAGAACCCAAACCAGAACCUGAAGAGGUAAACCAAGAAGAUCUCAGCCCUUUGUCAUCAUCAUCAGAGGUGGAACAGCUGGAGGAUAUUGAAAAGGUGAAACAAGAACCUAAACCAGAAC